rnacentral:tRNA from 1 species
UGGCAUAGUGGUUAAGAGCUAUGGCUGCUAACCAAAAGGUCGGUGGUUCAAAUCCACC